GCGUACCUUUUGUAUAAUGGGUCAGCGACUUAUAUUCUGUAGCAAGGUUAACCGUAUAGGGGAGCCGCAGGGAAACCGAGUCUUAACUGGGCGUUAAGUUGCAGGGUAUAGACCCGAAACCCGGUGAUCUAGCCAUGGGCAGGUUGAAGGUUGGGUAACACUAACUGGAGGACCGAACCGACUAAUGUUGAAAAAUUAGCGGAUGACUUGUGGCUGGGGGUGAAAGGCCAAUCAAACCGGGAGAUAGCUGGUUCUCCCCGAAAGCUAUUUAGGU
rnacentral:rRNA from 1 species